GAAGGUGGCGAGCGUUGUUCGGAAUUAUUGGGCUUAAAGAGCACGUAGGCGGAUCAGAAAGUGUCUUGUGAAAACCCCCGGCUUAACCGGGGAAUUGCUUGGCAAACUUCUAGAUCUUGAGUCAAGUAGGGGUACAUGGAACUCUUAGUGGAGCGGUGGAAUGCGUAGAUAUUAAGAGGAACGCCAAUGGUGAAGACAGUGUACUGGGCUUGUACUGACGCUGAGGUGCGAAAGCGUGGGGAGCGAACGGGAUUAGAUACCCCGGUAGUCCACGCCGUAAACGAUGUCUACUAGGUUGUGGGAGUUCUGACACCUUCACAGCCGAAGCAAAAGUGUUAAGUAGACCGCCUGGGGAGUACGGUCGCAAGGCUA
rnacentral:rRNA from 1 species